rnacentral:rRNA from 1 species
UACGGAGGGUGCAAACGUUGCUCGGAAUCAUUGGGCGUAAAGCGCACGUAGGCGGCUAAGCAAGUUGGGUGUGAAAGCCCUGGGCUCAACCCAGGAAGUGCAUUCAAAACUGCUUCGCUUGAAUCUCGGAGGGGGUCAGAGAAUUCCCGGUGUAGAGGUGAAAUUCGUAGAUAUCGGGAGGAAUACCAGUGGCGAAGGCGCUGACCUGGACGAAGAUUGACGCUGAGGUGCGAAAGCGCGGGGAGCAAACAGG